rnacentral:rRNA from 1 species
UAGGGAAUCUUCGGCAAUGGGGGCAACCCUGACCGAGCAACGCCGCGUGAGUGAAGAAGGUUUUCGGAUCGUAAAGCUCUGUUGUAAGUCAAGAACGGGUGUGAGAGUGGAAAGUUCACACUGUGACGGUAGCUUACCAGAAAGGGACGGCUAACUACGUGCCAGCAGCCGCGGUAAUACGUAGGUCCCGAGCGUUGUCCGGAUUUAUUGGGCGUAAAGCGAGCGCAGGCGGUUUGAUAAGUCUUGAANUUAAAGGCU